GUGGGAAUAGCUCAGUGGUAGAGCUCCUGCUUAGUACGCACAAGGUCCUGGCUUCAAUUCCCAGUCCCUCCA
rnacentral:tRNA from 1 species